rnacentral:lncRNA from 1 species
AUGAGACACAACUCAUCAGGAAGCAGCACAGACAAGGAAGGACAGAGUGUUGGAAUUUGGCAUGGUUUGUGCAGCAGGAGAAGGACUCUAGUUACACACAGCUCUGCCCAGACCCUCGUGUGGGUGUCAUAUGGACAUGGAUGCAUCAGGCCAUUUGGACAUGGUGCCUCAGACAUAAGAAAUCACCUCACUGCCCUCUCUUGCUGUGAAACUCUGCUUACAGGCAAGAAGCUGAUUCCAGUUGGGGGGCUUGCCUACAAAGAAACGAUGGCUGGACAUGAGUUUCCAGUCCCCAGGAGAGGUCAAUUCCACUUGCUAAGUAACCUGCUCAGGGUCACACUGCUGGGAAGUGGAAGAGCUGGGAUGCAAGCUGAGGUUCUCCUGACUUCUGGCUAUGCUGCUUGGGUAGCCAGCAAACCUCCCCAGGAUUCUUCUCUGCUGACCACUCUUAGCACUGAACACACAGUCCAUGUCAGGUCAAAGAAGUGGAAUUCAAAAGCAAAGCCAGAAGGCGUCCAUCCUCCGGAAAGUCAAACAAGGAAGGUAACACUAAGGGAAGAGGCUCCCACUCAGACCAUUGUGAGGAGAAGAUCCGACCAGUGAUUACACCGGCUCCAGCUUCAUUCUCCAAGAGGAGAGAGCCCCGCCCUUGGAUAUGGUGAAUUUUUUUAAUGUGGAACAACCCUCCAAAGGAAAUAUUACAGAUAACAUGCCAAGAUAAUUGUUUGAAAUGAAGUUUAGAAGAAAAUUCAACUAACCCUGUGUUUUGGUUGAAAGAUAGAAAUGUGAGCAGGGGUUUGGAAAGCCGUCCAAACCAAGCUUCCUCGGUGCUGGGCUGGUCUUUCUGAGCUUGGAAAAAAAAAAAAAACAGAAUGAAGAACUUCCAAGUGACCCCAGGACUCUCUCCAUUCUCUUGAUGUUGACUUUGGGGAGAGCAAGCUCAACUCUCUGCCAUGUGAGCAUCUGUGGAUGUGGACUGGGUUUUGCGUGAGGUCUUCCCCACGAACUCGGAACUGGAGGGUGCAAUAACCCUCCAUUUGAAGCAAUCAGUCCCAAACAUGCAGGACCUUGUGCCAGGCUUUCUUCCUCCAUCCUGGCCUCUCCCGUGGGUGGCUUCUCCUGGAACGCUGGCUCAUAUCUCUGGAGCCUGUGGUUUGGGGAUUGCCAUUAGCCAACUACAGCAGGGCCUAGAGAGUUUACUGUGGGCCUAAAAUGGGAACUGGACCCACCCUCUGAGUAAUGUUCAUCCUCAGUAGGGCUCAGUGGUGGCCUGCUACUGUACAAGUGACCCUCUUCCCACCACCCUCGCCCUGGUUGCCCCUGUAGAAUAACCACUCCCCUCCCCAACCUCUUUCCUUGCUGCUUCCUCAGAAUUGGGAUGGAAGGAAAAUAUGGCACCUGUAUGCACUCUGCACAUUCCUGUGUCCUGGACAAGUUGGGCCAUCAAGGAGCUGCUGUGGCAUGUCCAAUCCCCAUGGCACUGGGGGCAGUAAAUACCGGGAACUUAGCACAGCGACGUCAACCCUUGACUACUGCCUUGCCUGGACAGGAGAUCUUGUGCCAGUAACAGGUCAUUCAGCAGCAUGACGCUCUCCAGUCCCUAGAAGGUAUUAUUGCUAUGGGACAAUACAGAAUCCAUGUGCGGGAAAGGACCUUAAUAAAAUCCUAACCAAUAUAAGCA